rnacentral:rRNA from 1 species
UAGAUACCCUGGUAGUCCACGCCGUAAACGAUGAUCACUCGCUCUUGGCGACAUGCUGUCAGGGGCCAAGCGAAAGCGUUAAGUGAUCCACCUGGGGAGUACGGCCGCAAGGCUGAAACUCAAAGGAAUUGACGGGGGCCCGCACAAGCGGAGGAACAUGUGGUUUAAUUCGAUGAUACGCGAGGAACCUUACCUGGGCUAGAACGGCAUAUGAAUUAGUUGGGAAACGAGCUAAGCCUUAAUGGCAUAU